GGGAGAUGGAACCGAUCUCAGUGCGGGCAGCGGAUCCACGCAGCUUUUCGCAGCGGAGAUAACGAAUAUUUCCAGGCGCUGACCUCCAGGGGGAAGCCCCAGACGGUACAGCUCCUGUGCCAAUUUGGAGAAGCCCCUCUGAGCGCUUGGCCGUGGCCGCAGACCUCGGCUCACUGUUGCAGGGCACUCCCCGGGCACCUGUGCCAGGAUCUGCCCUUCCUCAGCCGCUCCGGGCUGUGACCUACCGGGCGGACACCCGCAGUGUAUUUGGGGACGGGACGAGGGAAGCUACAGGCCGGGGGAAGGGGGAGGGGGGUGCAUCCCAUCUGCAGCCCGCCCGGCCUCCCUCUCUCCAUCCCGGUCUCAUUAACCCGCGGGAACCGGGCGCUUCUCUCCUCGCAGGAGCUUCCCUUGAAAAACUUUCCCAUCUUCAGAUAACCUGUGUUUCACAGAUCACCGUCUGAAAAACACUGGUUUUGGAAAAUAUAAGCCAACGCCUCAUGACUGCCUUCUGUGGAACUGCCUGCACUUAGACUGCUUCAGCAUUGUCCACUUGGGGACUUGUGAUUCAGGUCCAUGUACUAAAUCGGCAGCAGCUGAGGCAGGAGGGGCUGAAGCAGGGGCUGAGGAGAAGUGGCACUCCUCUUGCUCUAAGCAUGUCUUCCUAACUGGAAGCAAGUGGAGACCUGAUCAGAUGAAAGCCACUAAUACUUGAGAUCUGUCACUGAUCAUUCCUGAUGUAAUCAUAGCAAAAUGAUCCAGUGUAACUAAAAAUAAUAAUAAUAAUAAAAAGAGGAUAAGCAGUUUCUGAAGUAUCAGAUCCCAGAGAGGUAGCCCAUUUUAUACAUAGCUUAGCCUUUUGUCUUCUUGUACAAUUACUGAAAUGACUUAGAACGCAGAGUUGUGAUUAUUGUGAUUUUGUGAUUCCUUCUGCAAUUCAUGGAACACAACCACGUUCAGAAGAUGUUGAUUAAUUAAUCUCCACUAUGUUCAUAUUUUUUUAUACAGUACAAGCCAAUUUUAAUUUCUGAAGAAAUGCAAAAGAAUGACAUUUUAAUAAAUUUAAAACUGAAACUUAAUAUAACUAUAGAUCUAAAAUUCCAUGUGUACAUUUUCAGUAAGAAUCAUGUCAUACAGUCUUCCAUAAGUGUAGCCUCAUUGCAGCAUAGGCAUUUUAAUAUUACAGAUG
ensembl:lncRNA